CCGCCACGGCGUGCCUCCCCAGCGCGGCGGCGGCUCCCGCGGGCGUGAGCGUGCCCUCGCCGAGCGGUGUCUCGUGGCUCACUUGGGGUGCGCUGUCGAUUGGCGCC
rnacentral:rRNA from 1 species